GAGCUUUUGAUGUCGCAGAUACUGCAUCAGGAACUGAUUGGGGAAUAAUCAUGUACCAUCAGUUCCUAAUGCAUUGCCUUCAGCAUCUAAACA
rnacentral:pre_miRNA from 1 species